rnacentral:rRNA from 1 species
GACAGAGGUGCCAAGCGUUAGGCGGAAUCACUGGGCUUAAAGCGUGUGUAGGCGGGUGCCUAAGUACCUUGUGAAAUCCCACGGCUCAACCGUGGAACUGCUAGGUAUACUGGGUGCCUUGGGUCAUCUAGGGGCUGCCGGAACAAAUGGUGGAGCGGUGAAAUGCGUAGAUAUCAUUUGGAACGCCAACGGCGAAAGCAGGCAGCUGGGGAUGCACCGACGCUGAGACACGAAAGCCAGGGGAGCGAACGGG